rnacentral:rRNA from 1 species
UACGGAGGGUGCAAGCGUUAAUCGGAAUUACUGGGCGUAAAGCGUGCGCAGGCGGUUUGCUAAGUCUGUUGUGAAAUCCCCGAGCUCAACUUGGGAAUUGCAAUGGAUACUGGCAGGCUGGAGUAUGGUAGAGGAAGGUGGAAUUCCCGGUGUAGCAGUGAAAUGCGUAGAGAUCGGGAGGAACACCAGUGGCGAAGGCGGCCUUCUGGACCAAUACUGACGCUCAUGCACGAAAGCGUGGGGAGCAAACAGG